UUCCCCGGCAUAUUUGCCGCAAUAAUCGGUGUCUAACUCGAUUCCAGUGAAAAUAUCGGCAUUAGUGCGUUUUCGGAUAUCGCCCCUUACUCACACUACGGGACGGGUAAAUAUUUAUUAUUUACAAUACAUUAUCGUAUUAUCGAGCCUUAGAAAGAAACAAAAAAUGUACCGCCAACGCGUUUAAAUUAUUGAUAGCAAUAUUGUAUGGGAUCGAAAGUUCGAAAUUCGUUUG